rnacentral:rRNA from 13 species
GGCGCCGGAAUUCUUGACCUGCUCUUCGUAGAAGGACGCGCACACGACGAAGCCGAACACGAAUGGCAGACCAUUGUUGAU